rnacentral:lncRNA from 1 species
CACCACCGCCUCCCCCUCCAUCCUCUACGUCAAAUAGGCUAACUUCGUUGGCACCUCCACCUCCACCGCCUCCGCCUCCAUCCUCUACAUCAAAUUGGCCAACUCCAUUGGCACCGCCACCGCCACCACCUCCACCGUCAAUCAAUUCUAAAAGGCCACCUGCACCUCCUGCACCUCCUUUGGGAGUUCCUAAGCAAGGUUCCACUCCACCAGCACCUCCACCAGCACCAAAGGCCCCUAAUGCUCCACCAUCAAGGCGGGGUUUUACACCCACUCCACCUCCACCGCCUGGGGGAAAGGGCCUUAAUG